GUGUUACACCUGAGAGGGAAGGAAGAGGAAAGUGGGACGUGACUGUGGAACGGAAGCUGGCGUGAUGCUGGGACAUCAGCCCUAGGCCCCUGCGACGACCUUUCCUGGGAUCUUGACCCUUUUAGGAAAGCCACUCACUUGUUUCAGGAAGAAAGCAAGACCACCAGGGACCGUCAACCGUCACCACGACUGAAAGACAUACCCCACAAUAUGAACUUGACCCUAGACCAAAGCUCCCAGGACCCCUACAGAUGGGGAAGCUGAGGCUUGGAAGACUGUGGCUUGACCAAGUUCCCAGAGCUUGUAAGUGGAAGAGCCAAGGUUCAAAGCCAGUGUUGAAGCUGUCCACAUUGCUUUCGUUGAACGAUAUGGGUGUCUUAGACUGUUUAGUGUUGCUGUAACAGAAUACCUGAGGCUGGAAAGUCUAUAACAACAACAAAAGAAGAGAUUUGCUUGGCUCGCAACUCUGAUGGCUGGAAAGUUCGUGGUGUGGUUGGUGCCUGUUUCCACUGGUGGAGGAAGGCGGGAGGGGAGAGAGCCUGUGCAGAGAUCACAUGGCAAGGAAGGAAACAAGAAAGAGAGAGAGACCAAGGAAACCAGACUCUAUUAAGCAACUCACUCCUGUGGGACCUAAUUUAGUCCCUGCAGGACCUAAUUCAGUCCCUGCAGGGUGGCAAGACGUUAAUCUGUCUAUGCGGGAUCCACCCCCAUGACCGCAAUACCUCUCGCUAGGCCCCACCUUCCAACACCAACACCAUCCCAUUGGGGAUCAAAUUUCAGCAUGGAUUUCAUAGGGGGCAAACCAUACCCAAACCACAGCAAUGGAUAGUGGGUUCGAUCCCAUUUUGGGUAUAGUGGAACUUGUAGUAGAUUAAGGUAGGAACCAGAUGAAUAUUUGGUGGAAGCCCCCAUAUGGAGAACACUCUCCUCGGGAUUACCCAAAGCCCCCUCCCAUGAGCAGUUCUGCCUGCCUGGUGAUGCACCUGUCUAAGACCUCACCACCAAUGAGUGGGUUUUCUUUGCACUUUCCCUCGAUGCCUACAUCAGGUCUCUGAUGUAACUGGGAUGGGUAGAGGAGGGUUGCUUCAGACUCCUGUCUUCUCUCCCUAAAGCCAUCCAUGGGGGGAGCGGUGGUCAAAAUCUACCCUAAUCUGAAGGGUCUACAGGAGAGGAAUGCUUCUCACGAGAAAACUUCAGCAGCACUUGGGAGUAAGCCACAGCGGAAGAGAGUCAAAGGGACUCUCUUCUGUCUAAAGCUAUGCAAAUCGGUGGUUUGCCCUCCAAACACGAGUGUUUAUCUCAGUUUCCUUUUUCGGCUGAUUGAGCGAUCAGAAAGCAGAGAGGUGGUGACCCCCAGCUGCACUCUGCCUCUCAGAAACUUCGGUAUUUUGACUCCACCACCUGCUUUUAACAGAGAAAGUCAAGAGCCUCAGUCUGCCUGGCCCCUUGCACGGUUCCGAGAAUGCCCUCCCACCCUGUGCCCAGACUUUUCUUUGUACCAAAGUUGACUUCUGGCUGCCAACUCAGGCUUUCUUGGAGCCAAAAAGCAGAGACCACUCUCCCUACCCUCUGGAAAAUGAAGCACACAGCUGAAUUUAAUAUUAGUGUUUAUCUGUAUCUUACUUAUUCUUACGAUCCAAGGGGGGCGCACAGUCAGGAUGUUAAUAUCUGCCAGGUUUGGAUGAACACUGGGUACUACUUUUGUCAUGUUACAGCCAAGAAACCAGGGCCAGGGAGAGAGAGGCAUUUGCCUAAGGUUACCUGGUUGGCCACUCGAAGGGCAUAUCUUGAAGUGUGCAGACACACGAGGAUUGGGACAACCUGUUAGCAAAGCUCAGAAAGCUCACCCCACCAUGCCGGGUGAUUGUACAGCAGCUGCAGUGGGUUCUUGCUUUCUCAGGCACUUUAUAUAUGUUAUCUCCAUCUUCAUAAAAAUAUCUAAGGCCACAGUGGUUUAUAUAUAUAUUUUUAAAGAAGUCACUGACCUAGUUAAAGAAUCUGAUGACAUCUAAAACUCUUUCCCUCAUAAAAAUACAUAUUCAAUUUUAAGGGCUCUUUAAGGAUCUGUGGACUCCAGGCUAAAAACCCCUGCUUCAGGUUAAAUAUUUUUGUUUUCCCCAUAUUGAAAAUGAUCCAAUGGAGGCUCAGAGAAGUUACAUGCUAUGCCUGUGCACGGCAAGAUAACAGGUGCCCUUAAAUACAGAUCAUUGGGCUCCUAAGCUCAAGUGGGUUUCUUCCC